rnacentral:misc_RNA from 1 species
AAUUCUGUAGAGCUGCAAACAAAAGACACUGGAAGAAAUCUCGCACAUAUUGCACGUAUUCGGUCUCUGAUUAUUGACAGAAUACAUCAAAUUCGCAAGAGCAAAAACGUAAAGAAGAUUGAGAAGGAUGUUUGAUAGCCCACGACCUUCACUGCUCAGGAACUGAAGUGGUAUAAUUUAACUAGAUUGCCAAAACAACAUAGAUGCGUAAAAAGUAUACCGCUCAUAUAUUUGUGGAAGAAAGAGGCAUUCACGCGACUAGAAGACAUUAAAUGUGGACAUGAAGCAACAUGCCAGUUGCGUGCAGGAAGUAGACACGUGGUAUAUCAGGCGCGGGAUAACGUCUUAGUUCAAUGCCAUUCACCGGCAGUUUGACAGGCGCAUUCGUAUUAUCAUCAUUUUCAUUGUCAGCAGAGCUGCUGCGGAAGUCUAUUUAGAUCAAAGAUGAAAAAUCAGAGGAUAAAAGAAGUUGGCCAAAAGUUGAAAGAAAUGGCGGACAGCUUUUCUGCAAAUGAUCAACCAUCCAGAAUGACACCUAUUUUAUCGUUCUGGAAUCGUCAUUGGAAGUUUAUGUUUUGGUUGACAGCAGCUGGUAUAGCCCUGCUUUUUAUUUUCUCAAGGCUUUAUCAAGAUGCUACAUGAAUGACACAGAUCUAUCUGAAUCUAAGAAUAUGAUAAGUUAUAAUAAAAUACGUCUGAUACGAAUAAUUGUGCAAGGAAUAAUGGUUGUUAAAAGUGAUUUCAUUUGAAUGAUAUAGUAUCAACUUAUUAAUUUUCGAUGGAAGAAGAAAAGUGAAACUGAAGAAAUGGCAAUUGCUUUUGCAGAAAUUUGGAGCAGUCAGUGCAAAUGAUUAUGUUGGAGUUUUUGAAUUUGAAUGAGUUUGAGGAAAAAAAUUGCUCAAUAAUUAAUUUUCCUUAAAUUUAUGUUUGAGAAAGUUUUUAACUGAUAAUUUUCUUGGUAUCUCAAGAAGUUUGAGAACAACUUCUUAGAAGCUGGAACUGUCCAUCUAAGAUCUGAAAAGACUUCAACACAAGUGAAGAAUCAAGUCACUGCUUUAAAUCUGCGUACUUAAUAUAUGUAUCAAGAAUAUUUCUUAUUCCAUUAAUUAUGUUGUAUAUUAAGUUAUUUUUUUCAUGUCCAUGACGAUUAAUCAUAUUUAAUAUUUCCUUAAGUUCAAGUUUAUGAGCUUGAACAUUAAACUUCAUUCCUUUCUGUAAAAUAAUGACUAGCAUCAUUACAAUUUAUUUUGAAAUAAAUCUUCUGUAGGAAGUAU